rfam:Picea glauca, whole genome shotgun sequence.
AUGGCACCACUAAGGGACACUUGCACUAGUUUAAGAAAAGGCAAUCGAUGUAGUAUAUAUGAGGAGUCGAUUAACUAUUAAAAGAAAUAUUCCUAGAUGCCUAAGAGGGUGGCAUCAUUGUCUGGCUGGGACCCUUCUGCACCAUGAGGCGUUUUCGAUGAGUUGGGUUGUUUGGGAAUGAAACCCUAAUCGAGUGGUAAAUUUCGCCCAAGGCUAAAUAUGGGUGAGAGACCGAUAGCGAACAAGUAACAUGAGG